CAACAACGGAUCUCUUGGUUCUGGCAUCGAUGAAGAACGCAGCGAAAUGCGAUAAGUAAUGUGAAUUGCAGAAUUCAGUGAAUCAUCGAAUCUUUGAACGCACAUUGCGCCCUCUGGUAUUCCGGGGGGCAUGCCUGUUCGAGCGUCAUUACACCUCUCAAGCCUAGCUUGG
rnacentral:rRNA from 1 species